CAUAUUGUGAGCUCGAUGAGUAGGGCGGGACACGUGGUAUCCUGUCUGAAUAUGGGGGGACCAUCCUCCAAGGCUAAAUACUCCUGACUGACCGAUAGUGAACCAGUACCGUGAGGGAAAGGCGAAAAGAACCCCGGCGAGGGGAGUGAAAAAGAACCUGAAACCGUGUACGUACAAGCAGUGGGAGCACGCUUAGGCGUGUGACUGCGUACCUUUUGUAUAAUGGGUCAGCGACUUAUAUUCUGUAGCAAGGUUAACCGAAUAGGGGAGCCGAAGGGAAACCGAGUCUUAACUGGGCGUUAAGUUGCAGGGUAUAGACCCGAAACCCGGUGAUCUAGCCAUGGGCAGGUUGAAGGUUGGGUAACACUAACUGGAGGACCGAACCGACUAAUGUUGAAAAAUUAGCGGAUGACUUGUGGCUGGGGGUGAAAGGCCAAUCAAACCGGGAGAUAGCUGGUUCUCCCCGAAAGCUAUUUAGGUAGCGCCUCGUGAAUUCAUCUCCGGGGGUAGAGCACUGUUUCGGCAAGGGGGUCAUCCCGACUUACCAACCCGAUGCAAACUGCGAAUACCGGAGAAUGUUAUCACGGGAGACACACGGCGGGUGCUAACGUCCGUCGUGAAGAGGGAAACAACCCAGACCGCCAGCUAAGGUCCCAAAGUCAUGGUUAAGUGGGAAACGAUGUGGGAAGGCCCAGACAGCCAGGAUGUUGGCUUAGAAGCAGCCAUCAUUUAAAGAAAGCGUAAUAGCUCACUGGUCGAGUCGGCCUGCGCGGAAGAUGUAACGGGGCUAAACCAUGCACCGAAGCUGCGGCAGCGACGCUGAUGCGUUGUUGGGUAGGGGAGCGUUCUGUAAGCCUGUGAAGGUGUGCUGUGAGGUAUGCUGGAGGUAUCAGAAGUGCGAAUGCUGACAUAAGUAACGAUAAAGCGGGUGAAAAGCCCGCUCGCCGGAAGACCAAGGGUUCCUGUCCAACGUUAAUCGGGGCAGGGUGAGUCGACCCCUAAGGCGAGGCCGAAAGGCGUAGUCGAUGGGAAACAGGUUAAUAUUCCUGUACUUGGUGUUACUGCGAAGGGGGGACGGAGAAGGCUAUGUUGGCCGGGCGACGGUUGUCCCGGUUUAAGCGUGUAGGCUGGUUUUCCAGGCAAAUCCGGAAAACUAAGGCUGAGGCGUGAUGACGAGGCACUACGGUGCUGAAGCAACAAAUGCCCUGCUUCCAGGAAAAGCCUCUAAGCAUCAGGUAACAUCAAAUCGUACCCCAAACCGACACAGGUGGUCAGGUAGAGAAUACCAAGGCGCUUGAGAGAACUCGGGUGAAGGAACUAGGCAAAAUGGUGCCGUAACUUCGGGAGAAGGCACGCUGAUAUGUAGGUGAAGUCCCUCGCGGAUGGAGCUGAAAUCAGUCGAAGAUACCAGCUGGCUGCAACUGUUUAUUAAAAACACAGCACUGUGCAAACACGAAAGUGGACGUAUACGGUGUGACGCCUGCCCGGUGCCGGAAGGUUAAUUGAUGGGGUCAGCGCAAGCGAAGCUCUUGAUCGAAGCCCCGGUAAACGGCGGCCGUAACUAUAACGGUCCUAAGGUAGCGAAAUUCCUUGUCGGGUAAGUUCCGACCUGCACGAAUGGCGUAAUGAUGGCCAGGCUGUCUCCACCCGAGACUCAGUGAAAUUGAACUCGCUGUGAAGAUGCAGUGUACCCGCGGCAAGACGGAAAGACCCCGUGAACCUUUACUAUAGCUUGACACUGAACAUUGAGCCUUGAUGUGUAGGAUAGGUGGGAGGCUUUGAAGUGUGGACGCCAGUCUGCAUGGAGCCGACCUUGAAAUACCACCCUUUAAUGUUUGAUGUUCUAACGUUGACCCGUAAUCCGGGUUGCGGACAGUGUCUGGUGGGUAGUUUGACUGGGGCGGUCUCCUCCUAAAGAGUAACGGAGGAGCACGAAGGUUGGCUAAUCCUGGUCGGACAUCAGGAGGUUAGUGCAAUGGCAUAAGCCAGCUUGACUGCGAGCGUGACGGCGCGAGCAGGUGCGAAAGCAGGUCAUAGUGAUCCGGUGGUUCUGAAUGGAAGGGCCAUCGCUCAACGGAUAAAAGGUACUCCGGGGAUAACAGGCUGAUACCGCCCAAGAGUUCAUAUCGACGGCGGUGUUUGGCACCUCGAUGUCGGCUCAUCACAUCCUGGGGCUGAAGUAGGUCCCAAGGGUAUGGCUGUUCGCCAUUUAAAGUGGUACGCGAGCUGGGUUUAGAACGUCGUGAGACAGUUCGGUCCCUAUCUGCCGUGGGCGCUGGAGAACUGAGGGGGGCUGCUCCUAGUACGAGAGGACCGGAGUGGACGCAUCACUGGUGUUCGGGUUGUCAUGCCAAUGGCACUGCCCGGUAGCUAAAUGCGGAAGAGAUAA
rnacentral:rRNA from 1 species